GGGAAUAUUGCACAAUGGGGGAAACCCUGAUGCAGCAACGCCGCGUGAGUGAUGAAGGUUUUCGGAUCGUAAAGCUCUGUUGUAAGAGAAGAACGUGUGUGAGAGUGGAAAGUUCACACAGUGACGGUAACUUACCAGAAAGGGACGGCUAACUACGUGCCAG
rnacentral:rRNA from 1 species